GAGAGAGAGAGCUCUAGGGAAGAGAGAGAGAGAGAGAGAGAGGGAAGAGAGAGAGAGAGAGAGAGAGAGGGAGAGAGAGAGAGAGAGAGAGAGAGAGGGGGAAGAGAGAGAGUGAGAGGGAAGAGAGAGAGAGUGAGGUAAGAGAAAGGAGAAGAGAGGGAGAGUUAGAGAGCUUUAGGGAAGAGAGAGAGAGAGCUCUAGGGAAGAGAGAGAGAGAGAGAGGGAAGAGAGAGAGAGAGAAGAGAGAGGGAAGAGAGAGGGAAGAGAGAGAAGAGAGAGAGAGAGAGCGAGGGAGAGAGGGAAGAGAGAGAGAGAGAGAGAGAGAGAGAGAGAGAGAGAGAGAGAGAGAGUUAGAGGGAAGAGAGAGAGAGAGAGAGCUCUAGGGAAGAGAGCUAGAGGGAAGAGAGAGAGAGUGAGGUAAGAGAAAUAGAGAGAGAGAGAGAGGGAAGAGAGAGAGCGAGAGGGAAGAGAGAGAGAGAGUGAGGUAAGAGAAAGAGAGAAGAGAGAGAAGAGAGAGGGAGAGAGAGAGAGAGAGAGUGAAGUAACAGAUAGAGAGUGAGAGAGAGAGAGAGGGAAGAGAGAGAGAAAGGUAAAGGGAAGAGAGAGAGAGAGGUAAGAGAAAGAGAAAGUUAGAGGGAAGAGAUAGAGAGAGAGGGAUGAGAGACGAGAUGGACGAGAGAUGAGAGGGACGAGAGGAGAGAGAGAGAGGGAUGAGAGAGAGAGGGAUGAGAGAGAGCGGGACGAGAGAGAGAGAGGGACGAGAGAGAGAGGGAGA
ensembl:lncRNA